UUAGAAAAAUAAUGCAUGCAGACCUUGGGCUGAAAAAUGGCUUCUUGAGUAAAUUCCCAAAAAGAAAACACAAGGCAAAAAAACUGAUGGAAUAUCAUUACAUUAAAAUUAAAAUGUAUUUUUCUAUUGUUUUUAUGAAAACAUACCUUAAUAUAUGGUUUCUGUUCAACUAAGGACACCAAAGACAGAGUUAGCAGACAGAUGAGGAGGUAAAUAUUUGUAAUAAAAAGUAGGGAUUAAAAUCUAGAGUAAAUAAUGAACUCUUGAAAUUCAAUGAAGAAAAGAUAUGGAACCCAAUAGGAAAACUGGCAAAAGAUAUAAACAAUUUUGUAAAGGGUCAAAAGUACAGCUGACCCUGGAACAAAGUGGGGAUGAAGGGACAGCAAACCCCAACAUGCUAAAAAACCCACCUAUUAGCUUUGACUCCUCAAAAACUAGACUAAUAGCCUACCGUUGACUGAAGCCUUAACUGUAACAGUUGAUUAACACAUAUUUUGUAUAUUAUAUGUAUUAUAUACUGUAUUCUUACAGUCAAAUAACCUAGAGAAUAGAGAAUGUUUUUUCAAAUUGUCAUAAACCUCUAAAAAUUUUUCAAAUAUAUUUACUGCAAAGACUCUCUGACUAAGUGUACCCACACAGUUUAGACCCAUGCUCAAGGGUCAACUGUACAUGCCACUCUUUCUCUCCCAGUGAAUAUAGCUAUGGAAAUUGAACAGACUGCAUGGGCAGCCAUCUGAAAAACAGUGGCAAGAGGAUCAGGGAAGAAGACGUGAAUUUGAAGUACCACUGAAUUGUGCCUGUGUUGGUUGGAGCAGAAAAGCUGAAUGCAGAACCUGCUGUGGUAGAUGUUGUCCCGAAUCCUCCAAAUCCACCUAAUUAAAAAAGGACAAAUAAAAUAGAAGGAAUCUGUUAUACACAUAACAGUGUCCAUCAAGACUAAGCAACUUUUCAAAGGAAACGCACCAAAACAACUCACCUCUUUACAACAAGAAUGUGUUUCUUGAAGGAAGAAAUGAGGGGAAAAAACCCUAGUGGAAAGCAGUGGCAGGGGAGCGCAGAGGUAUCACAGGGCUCUGCAAUACCAUCUGGCAACUCCGACAGACAUUCAAAGUUCACUUUUAGAUAAGUCUAGAGAUGAAAUUAAUCUUAACCUUAUCUAACUUGAUAUUGGAAUGGAAUGGAAUGCUGCCAGUCUAAAAUUGUUUUAUGGUUGUUUGCUUAUUGUCAGUCCACCUGAUUACCAGUGUGGUGCCAAAAAGACUUCUAUGACAAAUGUUUGAACCAUUAGUGAGUGCUCUCUUGGUUAUGCUAUAGGAUUUCUCAGUUUUUAAUUUUUAAUCUCAUUUCUGAUAUAAGAGACAGAUAUGCAACAAUACUGUAACAUACAAGUGCAAGAAGAAAAAAAACCCAAUACUCUGAUAUUAAUUAUAUAUUUCUGAUUUGAAAAAUUACUCAAGAAUAGGCUGCAUGAUUGUAUGCAGGCACAACCAAGUACUUAUUUACUUGUAGACUGUAUUGCAGUACUGCAAACUACAAACAUUUUGAUAAAAAUCACCUAAAGUAUUAAACAUUGUUCUUACUCCUUCUCAUCACUCUUCAUAUCCAGAGAACAACUAAGAUAUAUUGUGAAUUGGCUACACAAUAAAAACAGUAUCUUAUCAUGCUCCAUAAUACCAAAAAUGUUCAUUAACAGUAGUGGAUCUGCAAGGAUACAAAAGGAUAUAAAAGUAAACAAGAAUUUCUAUCAGCUUUUGCUGAAGCCAAAGUUAACAAACAUUUAUAGAAGUAGUUAAAACAGUUAUCACAACUCAAAACAGUGGUAACUCCAAAUGAACAUGAAAUCAAGCAAAACCAACAUGUUUAUUUACUGUUACUGAAUUAUGAGCUGGGUGCCUUUGCUCGGAUACACAAGUUUUGAAAUGUUUGUUUUACCCAGUGCCAAUUUUAAGCAAACAGGGAAAAGUAAACAUACCAAACAGUGAUAUGUGAUCACUUAAAAUAUAUCUUAAAGAUAAUGGAUUAUUUUAUCUUUGGAAUUUUCAAGUAUUCUUCAAAAUGUUUUGAAAUCAGAUGCCAAGGUGACAUUCAUACUGUAGUAACUAAUCACUGCACAAAAUACGAGACGUCCCAAAUAUGUCUUAGGAAAUAAUGUUUACCAAAUGCAUAUAAUUGGCAUGGGCAUAAGUAGCAUAAUGUAAGAGAAUAUGGACCAUAAAUUCAUAUACGAGCAGCAGCAGAACAAGACUUUUCUAUAGGGUCAUUGUAUGUAAAGCACACAUAGACCAGUUUUAAAUUUUUAUAUAUGCACAUGAAUUUUAGUUUGUGAUUUGCAAAAUUUCCAGUGAGCUUCAAACAGUCCAGAUUCCAAAAUCUUCCUAAUUAUCUUUUGAAUGCAAAGAUAUUUAGCCCACCAGUCACAUCUCAAUGCCACCUGACAAUAAAUUAAACUGCUCUCUCUGGUCAUUUCUGAAAAAAUCCAGGGAAGAAUUGGGGGUUCUUUCUAUAAUUAAUAUCUUGUAGAAAUGUAUCCUAGUCAGCUGAGUUGAUCAAAGAAAUAUAUUAGUAUUAUUGCUGUUAUUACACAGAUGAAAAAACAAUAUGUUACUGCUGUUCGUAUAAGACUUGUUUCUCUUGGGAAACACAAGGACAAUCCAAUUAAAUUCCAAUGAAAGAUGAAGGAAAAUGAAAAAAUGCAGGAGUCCAAGAAUCCCAGCAAAAUGGGACUGACUGCUGAGCUUAUACUUUGGAAGUACCUAAUAAUUUGGAAGAUAUAUUCAACUCAAAAUAAUAAUCCAUUCCAAGUUCUUAUCACUUCUAAGGUAUAUUCUAUUCAAUUAAAUGCAAAUUUAACAUUCUAACUUGUAAGACUUCCCCAAACCAAAUCCUUCAAGAGAGAGAGUCAAAUCUUGAGACAAAUGUUUUUGAUAAGACGUUAGGAAAUGAGUUUCCUUGUCUUAUUAAGCCAAGUUGGUGUUCUUUCCCAAACUCUAGGAACCACAAAAUAUUCUUGGACUCCAGCUCCCAACACUAGUUACACAUACAACCCGCAGU